rnacentral:misc_RNA from 1 species
GUGAAUCAUCGAAUUUUUGAACGCAUAUUGCACUAACUGGUAUUCCGGAGAGUAUGCCUAUUUGAGGGUCAUUUGAAAUAAUAUAAAUUUCGAGAUUUUCUUGAAAUCAAAAAUGGGUGGGUCCAGCUUUCGUGUGUUGGUCGCCUAAAUUGCAAGCAAAGCUCAUUUCUUGGGUUGCGUGAUAUUUUAAGUUACUUCUUGCCUUCACAAGAAAUUUUCGA